rnacentral:rRNA from 1 species
CGGGGUCCAACCUCCCACCCGUGUCUAUCGUACCUUGUUGCUUCGGCGGGCCCGCCGUUUCGACGGCCGCCGGGGAGGCCCUGCGCCCCCGGGCCCGCGCCCGCCGAAGACCCCAACAUGAACGCUGUUCUGAAAGUAUGCAGUCUGAGUUGAUUAUCGUAAUCAGUUAAAACUUUCAACAACGGAUCUCUUGGUUCCGGCAUCGAUGAAGAACGCAGCGAAAUGCGAUAAGUAAUGUGAAUUGCAGAAUUCAGUGAAUCAUCGAGUCUUUGAACGCACAUUGCGCCCCCUGGUAUUCCGGGGGGCAUGCCUGUCCGAGCGUCAUUGCUGCCCUCAAGCACGGCUUGUGUGUUGGGCCCCCGUCCCCCUCUCCCGGGGGACGGGCCCGAAAGGCAGCGGCGGCACCGCGUCCGGUCCUCGAGCGUAUGGGGCUUUGUCACCUGCUCUGUAGGCCCGGCCGGCGCCAGCCGACACCCAACUUUAUUUUUCUAAGGUUGACCUCGGAUCAGGUAGGGAUACCCGCUGAACUUAAGCUAUAGA